rnacentral:rRNA from 1 species
UACAGAGGGUGCAAACGUUGCUCGGAAUCAUUGGGCGUAAAGCGCACGUAGGCGGCCCAGCAAGUGGGGAGUGAAAGCCCUCGGCUUAACCGAGGAAGUGCUUUCCAAACUACUGGGCUUGAAUACUGGAGAGGGUCGCGGAAUUCCCGGUGUAGAGGUGAAAUUCGUAGAUAUCAGGAAGAACACCAAUGGCGAAAGCAGCUCUCUGGGACGGUACUGACGCUGAGACGCGAAAGCGUGGGGAGCGAACAGG